rnacentral:rRNA from 1 species
GAGCACGUAGGUGGGUUUGUAAGUCAGAUGCGAAAGCCUUCUGUUCAACGGAAGAAUUGCAUCUGAAACUGCGAGCCUUGAGUAUAGGAGGGGAGAAUGGAACUUCUGGUGGAGCGGUGAAAUGCGUAGAUAUCAGAAGGAACGCCGGCGGCAAAAGCGAUUCUCUGGCCUAUUACUGACACUCAGUGUGCGAAAGCUGGGGGAGCAAACGGGAUUAGAUACCCCGGUAGUCCUAGCCGUAAGCGAUGGGCACUAAGUAGAGGGGUUUU